rnacentral:lncRNA from 1 species
GGGACUCGACGUCACAAAGAGAGGAGUAAACAGGGCGCUCGGUGCUGGCUGCCAGGCCCAUUCAUAAAACGGAGACCUAGAGGAAGAAAAGGAGGCAGCCUCCGACCCGCCCGCGAGCCGGCGGCUCGGGGACUUUGUGAAUGGAGCCGCGGCGCGGUGCCCUGUCCUUCCUCAGCCCCGGAGCGCGGCGAUCCUGGUAGAGAUCGUUGCGGGUGGCGACGCGGGGCCUUACUGAGGCCUGGGCUCUCCGUGUGGAGGUCUUCACCCCUGCGCUCCCCCCCACCCCCCCGGCCUCCCCAGUCUUCGAGGUCUCGCUCCUGCAGCUCCGAGAAACCUGACACUGUGCGGCUGCCACCCCGUAGGGCUUGGGGACCUCUCCUCGCCGGACUUAAUCUCGUUCUUCGUGCCCGGCCGGUUGUGUUUUGUCUUUGUUUUUUUCCAUGCGAUUCCCCGGACUUAGUUUAUACAUUAGCGUGAUCGAUUUCCAUCCCGAGCUAUUACAUCUGGUUUAUAGCUUCCCGCGGAACCUGGGCCAACGCAGAUUUAGAAAGAUGAAAGGGAAGGCCCUCGCGCCGAAGCCCAAUAACAAAAGAGAGGUGGAGGGGUUUGUUACUUUACAACCCAGAGGGGGGCGUUAAUUGGCCGAAUGCUGUGCCCGUGCAAGAGAAUGGGAGGCACUCGGGCCCAAGCUUCCUAAAACCUGCUUUUUUAACCAUGGGGGGGGGGGGGGGGAAUACCCGGAGGUUUUCCUCUUUGGUGGGAGUCCUCGCUUCCCUCCUCACACGCAACGUCCUCUAAGGAAAUGACGGUUAAGGUCUACAUUUGGUACGAAGGAAAAGAUGCUGAAAAGUGCCCAUGGGAAGAAUGACCUUUUAUAAAAGCAAAUGUAAUAAGCUAGGAGACGAUUCGAGUUUCCGCAUCCCUCUUUCCAGGUCACGUAGCAUCUGCCACCCCCCAUUUUACUUUCGGGGGGGGAGCAUUUAAUUUCCCAAGGGCUCGAUUUUGGCAAGAGAGGAGGUUAUGCGCGCAUGUGGUGGGGACCUUACAGAGAGCCAAAAAAAUUAUUUGGCCGAGAUCUUGCCAAGUCUUGUUAGCAAGAAUUAAUCACCGAACAAGGGAAUUACGGGGUUUGGUAGCGGCGGCCAGGUCGAAUAUUCCAUUUCAAGUUGCGACUAAGCCUGAUUAAGGCAGCGAGGGCCGCCGAAGCCUUGGGGUCCUUCCCGCCCUGUUCAGCCUCCUCCACUGUUACCCUUUGCUUUGUUCUCUGCGUAGCUGCUCGCCCGAGAUCACCUCCAGCUCUCAUUUCAAGGCCUUCUACCGGCUCUCUGCACUCUGAAGGCCCUGACACCCCUUUCAGGGUCCAGUGGGCUAUGGGGGUUGAGAAGCAAUCAUCUGUGGAGAUUUAUUUUUAUUGCCUCGGGUUCCAAAAUGGCACUGCAGUUUUUAUUUUGUUUAUGGAUUUUUCUUCAGUUAAAAAAAUAAACUAUUACAUGAGUAUUAAUUUGUUGCUGGCAUAUUAGCGACCCCUCAGCCCCCAACGCACCUUAUAUUUUGGUGCCCGGGGUGCGCGAUCACUCUAAUUCGGGUUCCGGAAGGAGCCACCACAGUGGAGUGACGUCGGCUGCCUGGGGCAAAGUCUCCGGCACCCGGCUUUCUGGCUGGGAGAGCCGCAUGGGCUCCCUGCACCCGUGAGGAGGGCAAAGUGGUUUCUCUUGGUUCGGGAGCUGGGAGGACAUCUAGUGCUUCCCCUUUGCUGGCCCUCUAUGGGUGCUAGACAUCCCCCGUGCCUCGACAGCCCGGGUCAGAUUCACUCUCGUGGGGCCUCUCCCCGAAGUCUACAUAUCCAGAGGCCAGCAGGCCUCAA